GGAUUUUUACAUAUUGACUCUUGGUAUGAAAGCCAAAUACAUAUCAAAGACAGUAACAGAGACAUAAGAGCUUAAAAAAAACUCUACAAGAUUUAUGUAACAACAAACUUAGAUUGCUUAUUGAUAUGUAUACUGGGUCUUGAAUGUUUAUAUUGAUUCUUGGAUAUGAAAACCAAAUGCAUACCAUGCAAAGUAAAAGACAUGAGAACUCAAAAAGUUUUGCAUGAUUUAUUCAACUACUAUCAACCCAACAUGAGAAAAAUCAAUGUGAUUACUCCAUCAAACAUAAACUUCUAGUGUAACUUUUUUGUUCAAUUAGUCUACUUCUUUAGUCCUUAAUGUGAAGGGUAGUGGAAUACUCUAGAUUAAUUAUUCAUAAUCAACUAGAGUUGGAAACCUUGUUUAUCUCUAAAGGUGAAAUAUUAUGAAUUAAAAAAGAAUAAGCUUGGAACAUUUGUUGUUUAUAUGACUAUUCUGGGCAAGUUUUUUGAGGAAAGGCGUUCUUGAUUAGUUAUCAUGGAGUCAGCAAGUUUCAUCACCAUAUCAUCACUAAAACAUCCUUCUUCUUCCACCCACACCAACCACGAAACAACCCCUCCAUUCUUUCCGCAAACCAUUUCAGUCUUUCUCCUUUUUUCAGUGCAACACAGGAAAGCGCAUCCAACCAACUUUUUUUUUACCAGGGAACGUGUCAAACAGACGAAGAGUUCGCCGGUCAGUUUACACGAAGGAGCGCAUGAAAUAUUUUUGAAGAGUUUUCACAAAGAGAAAUAUUUCUUUUUUUGAAAAGGAGAAACCAAAUGUUCUGUAGGGAAGUAAAAAAAAAACUUGCAUGUUCUGUUGAAU
rnacentral:lncRNA from 1 species